GGGCAACGCCAGGACGCGCUGGUCCCUAGGCGGACGCGGCUCCUGCGGCGCCGCGCGUGGAGAGCCGGCGGGGAGCGCAGCUUCGCGCGCUUCUAGCCAUGGCCUCGUUACGCACUGCCAGCCCCACGCUGAGGAGCUACUUCAAGGAGAACUACAUUCCUCAGGUCUUCGAGGCUCUGUGAUGUGGUGUACUUGUUACGUGCCCUGAGGACCCGCUGAGAUAUUUAGAGGAAACGAUCAUUACUAUAAUGGAAAGCGGUCUCGAAAGUCUCCUUUGGGAUAUGUACAUUGAUCCAUCAAUGAAACCAAAAAUUCGGAGAUUGUCUGAAACUUACAUGGAACGUCUUUUUGGACUGGAAGAUCAGCUGAUAACUCCAGAAUUGAUGAUAAAAGCCUGUACUUUUUAUACUGGACGUUUAGUAAAGACCCACUUUUGCACUUGGAGAAAUAUAGCAAUAUCUCGUACAAAUGAAGACGACAUGCUGGCUGAAAAAAUGGAAAAAGCAACGAAAUAUGCCAAUUUCAGACUUCAAAAAUAUAUAUUUCACCAUUGGCACUCUCAUGCGAAAGUUCGAAAAGAACAACUUAAUGAUAUGCUGUUGCGGAUCCAGGGGAAGUUCCACCAUUACAAGCUAAUAAUCAUCCUAAAUAAAUGGAGGGAGAAGGCAAGACAUAGGUAUAAGAAGAGAGAAGAUGAGCUGAUGUUAAAACAUGAACUUCAAUUGAAAAGAUGGAAGAGCAACUUGAAAGGCAAGACAGCUGCUGAAGAAAAAUUCAUUUUUCCUGAACGAAGUAUGUCUGAAGUCUUUCUUAUAGGUUGCUGUGACAUUUCAGCAUUACCGGAAAGAGCAGUAUCACGGAUUUUCUCGCACCUCAGUUUAAGAGAUACGGUAGUAUGCGGUCAAGUUAGUCGCUCCUGGUUGCUGAUGACACAAAUAAGGUCAUUGUGGAAUGCUAUUGAUUUUUCCUCAGUAAAGCACAUGGCCACAGAUAAAUAUAUAGUGUCUACUCUGCAAAGGUGGCGUCUGAAUGUGCUGCGCUUGAAUUUUCGAGGAUGUGCUCUCCGACAGAAAACUUUGAGAUCUGUCAGUCUCUGUAAAAAUUUGCAAGAGCUGAAUGUCUCCGACUGCCCAACCCUCACGGAUGAGUCAAUGAGAUACAUCUCUGAGGGCUGUCCUGGGGUCCUGUAUCUCAAUCUAUCCAACACCAAUAUCAGCAACCGGACCAUGCGACUCCUGCCGAGGUACUUCCACAACUUACAAAAUCUCAACCUGGCUUACUGCAGAAAGUUCACGGACAAAGGUUUACGGUACCUGAAUUUAGGGAACGGAUGCCACAAGCUCAUCUAUUUGGACCUUUCCGGCUGCACCCAGAUUUCAGUCCAAGGCUUCAGGAAUGUUGCAAACAGCUGCACUGGAAUAAUGCAUCUGACCGUGAACGACAUGCCAACUCUGACGGACAACUGCAUAAAAGCUUUAGUUGAAAGAUGCCCUCGUCUCUCAUCGAUAGUUUUCAUGGGUGCGCCACACAUCUCCGAUUGUGCUUUCAAAGCUCUUUCUUCCUGUAACCUCAGAAAGAUCCGAUUUGAAGCAGGAAAUAAAAGGAUUACUGACGCAUGCUUCAAAUUUAUAGACAAGAAUUACCCAAAUAUUAGUCACAUUUACAUGGCGGACUGCAAGGGAAUAACAGACGGGAGCCUCAGGUCGCUUUCACCUUUGAAGCAGCUGACCGUGCUGAAUCUGGCGAACUGUGUAAGAAUUGGUGAUGUAGGACUAAGGCAAUUUCUUGACGGCCCUGUGAGCAUAAGGAUAAGAGAGCUAAAUUUAAAUAACUGUGUCCACUUGGGUGAUGCCUCCAUGGUGAAACUAGCAGAACGCUGCCCUAAUUUACACUACUUGAGCCUACGAAAUUGUACACAUUUGACUGACAUAGGAAUUGCAUAUAUUGUAAACAUCUUUUCCUUGCUAUCAAUAGACCUCUCUGGAACAGACAUCUCUGAUGAGGGUUUGAUCACACUUUCCAGACAUAAAAAAUUAAGGGAACUCUCUCUAUCUGAGUGCAAUAAAAUCACCAAUCUUGGAGUUCAGGUGUUCUGCAAAGGCUCACUACUCUUGGAACACUUGGAUGUCUCUUAUUGCCCCCAGCUGUCAGAUGACAUUAUUAAAGUCCUGGCCAUUUAUUGCAUUUGCAUCACAUCUCUCAGCGUUGCUGGUUGUCCAAAGAUUACUGACUCGGCGAUGGAGAUGUUAUCGGCAAAAUGCCGUUACCUGCACAUUUUGGAUAUUUCUGGUUGUGUCCUGCUUACUGACCAAAUGCUCAAACACCUUCAGUUAGGCUGCAAACAACUCCGGAUCCUUAAGAUGAAUUACUGCAGACUUAUUUCCAACCGUCUGCGGACUCUGGGCUAAGAGCUGCUGUUCCGGUGCACAGCCAGCCUGCACAGCUUGGCUGGUUCAGGCAUUCCCUCAUCAAAGAAACUGGAAACACCGGACAGCGGUAUUUCUCACUCGAGAGCACUACAGAGCGCCCUCAGUGCCACCACUCCGUGAAGAUGCCUAGUUUCCCUAUCCAUUCAGUGUCUGUGAGUCUCUGAACCGGCUGCAGCAGAGCUACUGAGCUGCUCCAGCUUUGGGAUCCUGAUUGUUAGCAUAUGACCCACCCUUCCCCCUCAGCAACGCGAGAAAGCCGUGAAGUGACUUCAACCUGUGACCGGAGGCAGCUAGCAGAAUGUCACAGAAAGUUCAGCAGCAGGAAUACAGCCCCGGUGACCCUCCAAGCUGGUUUGGCUAUGACUGGGAAGGCAAUCCUCUUACAGAGCAACGUCGUAUAGGAUC